ensembl:lncRNA
UGUGUGUGUGUGUGUGUGUGUGUGCGGGGGAGGGUGUUGCAAAGAAAUAAAUGAAUUGAGACCAAAAAGAAGAGCGAAAAGACAGAUGGAGAGACAGAGAAGGAGGCUAGAGAGGAACCACUGUGGUUGCCAUGCCGACAGACUCACACAAGCAGCCUCUUAACGGCAGAAAAAAGAAUCACGGCAUGCCGACUUCAAACAGAGUUCACCGCGGCAACACUGGGGCCAUCGCCACGGCAACCGCGCUUGGCGAACGACUGCCGGGUGUUAAUAAGUCCUGACCUUCGGUCGAAGAGCCGAAGAAGGCUUCCAACAGUCCCAUGGGCUCUACCAGAAGGGGCGUGACUUCGCCGCUUCAUGGCUCCAAGAUCGGUUGGUGUAAUCCUUUUG